CUCAAGCUAGUUUAUACUCAGCCUCCAGCAAAUAGUGAGUUACCACUUAAGUGUUCCUACAGUUAUUUCCUCUAGUAGCGCUCCUCCUAGUAAGCUGUGAUUUUGUGUCUCCAGUUUUCAGUGCAACUAUUUGCCCUGAGACCUCAGUUCUCUGGUGUAUCUAAGAAUUGUCCAUGUUCAAGUUUUCCACUAUUUUUCAUGUUGGGAGAGUGGGACUUCCGAGCUCUUUACAUGUUGCAACAGAAACCAGCAGUAUUAUCUCUUCAGUUAUUCUUUCUCUCUUCUUUUAGGACCCCAGUUAUGUGUAACUUCAUGCACUUGGG
rnacentral:lncRNA from 1 species